CAGACCGAUAGCGAACAAGUAGAGUGAUCGAAAGAUGAAAAGCACUUUGAAAAGAGAGUUAAACAGCACGUGAAAUUGUUGAAAGGGAAGCGCUUGCGACCAGACUCGCCCGCGGGGUUCAGCCGGCAUUCGUGCCGGUGUACUUCCCCGUGGGCGGGCCAGCGUCGGUUUGGGCGGCCGGUCAAAGGCCCCUGGAAUGUAGUGCCCUCCGGGGUACCUUAUAGCCAGGGGUGCAAUGCGGCCACCCUGGACCGAGGAACGCGCUUCG
rnacentral:rRNA from 1 species